rnacentral:rRNA from 3 species
UAAACGACUCUUGGCAACGGAUAUCUCGGCUCUCGAAUCGAUGAAGAACGUAGCGAAAGGCGAUACUUGGUGUGAAUUGCAUAAUCCCAUGAACCAUCGAGUCUUUGAACGCAAGUUGUGCUCGAAGCCGUUAGGCCGAUGGCACGUCUGCCUGAGCGUCACAC